UAAGGGCAAAAGUAGGGGUGGGGGGGUCAAAUAUUUUGGGCCUCAUGAAGAAGCAGUCACUCUCAUUUAUGAAAAUGUAUAAACUAACAUUGGAAAUGCUUAUGAUGCCAAUACAGGAAUCUUCACAGCACCAGUAAAAGGAGUGUAUUUCUUCAACUUUGUGGUCUUCAAUCCUUAUGACAUUUCUACUGGUGUGAGACUGUUUAAGAACGGCAAUUUUGUGGUCGCAGCUACAGAUAACCCUCCCAAGCAAGACACUGAAGACACUACAUGCAACUCAGUUAGUCUUAUUCUUGAACAAGGGGACCGGAUACAUCUUCAGCUCUUAGAGAAUCGUCGUAUCUACACAGAUUCACUGAGCCGCAAAUAGAAUCAGAACCAUGCUGCCCUAACUGGUGCCCAAAGCCACACAGUUAACCCUGCCACCAGCAAGUCGCAGCCCACCAUCGACAGCCUCUGAGAAAUCCAAGAAAUUAAAUUCUUAAUGCAGUGUUAAUGCUUAGUACACUGAGAAGAGUUUCAGUUUGCCUGACUUCAUUACUGUACAGAUGGAGUACAUGCAUGACACAUUUUAAUUAGUUGCUUCAUGACUGUUCUUGAGUUUUUCAAAGAGCCAGUUAUUCAAUCUCAUAAAAAAAAAAAUUCUGAGGAGAAUUUGGUCUGUUUUCAUUUAUAUCUUAGUAUUUCUGACAUUUUGCUUCAUUUUGUAGAUAUGAAUUUUGAAUUAAUAAAAUACGGCUUGGUAUCGUGAUACUUCAGCUGGUAUAGUAACGUAACAUUUGUUUAUGGUAUCGUUACAACCCUAGUCUACCCUAAAAAAAUUUUCUUUUUUUUUAGCAAUGUGGUAGAUUUUUUUUUUUUUUUUGCAAUGUUACAUAUUUAAGACGUGUGUCAAUGUGCCAGAUGUAACCCAUAAAAGCAUUUUACCAAAAUAGUUAGUAUAGUGUGUCCCAUUAUUCCAUUAAAAUGCUCUUUUACUGUUUUCUGGUAUCACUGAUAAUUACGCUCUUCAUGCAAUAUCAAUAAA